AGUGGGAUACCUGGGUCAAACGGUGGUUUCAUUUCAAGUUUUUAAAGGAAUCUCCAUACUACUUUCCAGAUUGGUUGCACCAUUUUGUAGUCCCACCCAGCAAU
rnacentral:pre_miRNA from 1 species